rnacentral:SRP_RNA from 1 species
GCUGGGUGUGGUGGCUCAUGCCUGUAAUCCCAGCUCCUCAGGAGGCUGAGGCAGGAGAAUUGCUUGAACCCAGGAGGCGGAGGUUGCAGUGAGCCGAGAUCAUGCCACUGCACUCCAGCCUGGGUGACAGAGCGAGACUCUGUCUCAA